rnacentral:misc_RNA from 1 species
CAAAAGAUUGAUCAUCAUCUUCAUCUUUGUUCGGACCUCUUUCCUGCGGGUCUGGGACACUCCCAUGUCCUGCUCCCUUUUCAUUGUCACUUGGGUAAUCAAUCUCAUGGGCCAGAAACCAGGCCUCGUCCUCAAUCGGUUGUCUCAUGUAUCCAACAUCAUCAUCAUCAUCAUAUUCAUCAGAAUCCCAAUAUUCAUUUGGAUAGUCAAUUGAUUCACUUAGUCCAUCACCAACAGUUGCAAAACCAGAAACUAAAUCUG